GGCCUUGACAUACUAAGAACUUUCCAGAGAUGGAUUGGUGCCUUCGGGAACUUAGAUACAGGUGCUGCAUGGCUGUCGUCAGCUCGUGUCGUGAGAUGGUUGGGUUAAGUCCCGNAACGAGCGCAACCCUUUUCCUUAUUUGCCAGCGGGUCAUGCCGGGAACUUUAAGGAUACUGCCAGUGACAAACUGGAGGAAGGCGGGGACGACGUCAAGUCAUCAUGGCCCUUACGGCCAGGGCUACACACGUGCUACAAUGGUCGGUACAAAGGGUUGCUACCUCGCGAGAGGAUGCUAAUCUCAAAAAGCCGAUCGUAGUCCGGAUCGCAGUCUGCAACUCGACUGCGUGAAGUCGGAAUCGCUAGUAAUCGCGGAUCAGAAUGCCGCGGUGAAUACGUUCCCGGGCCUUGUACACACCGCCCGUCACACCAUGGGAGUUUGUUGCACCAGAAGUAGGUAGUCUAACCGCAAGGAGGACGCUUACCACGGUGUGGCCGAUGACUGGGGUGAAGUCGUAACAAGGUAGGCGUAGAUGA
rnacentral:rRNA from 1 species